CGUUGUUUUCUGGCAAGGAAGUAGAAGUUAGCCUAUCAGUACAUUGUUCAUCCCUUGAGUGAUAACCUAUUUCAGGAGUAUGGUGGCUUGGGUUGUGGUGCUGCAGCUGCUGGCUUGGGGUGAUGGUGAUCUGUAGAAACAAGGGGACUUCAGAAAGGGAGAAAGAAAGGGCCAGAGCUUGAAAGUCCAAUGGGAAAACGGGGAGCCUGGCUGAGUGCGCUCUGGAGCCGUGCUCUGGGUCUGUUUCCGCACUAUCGAUCCCUCACUAUCCACGAGACAAGAGUCAUUUCUAGGGCAUGAGACUGGGGCUUGGGAAUGGAGAGACUUAUUUUCUACUGCGCUCUUUUUGACUCUUUCUUGCUUGACUCUUUCACAUUUUCUCUAUUAUUUCAAUAAUUGCAAAUCAAAUUACAGGGUUUGGCUUUCAAAAAAAAUGCAAUGAAGGGUUUGGAUCAGACCAUUGGUUUUCAAGCUUUCUUUUAAGUCAGCAAAACACUUUCUGCACAAUCUUACAGGAAAGCCUAAUUAAUGUGUAACAGAGAGGAAGCGUCUCGGGCUGGCACGCCCCACCCCUCCUCCUGCCCUCAGCAUUCCCACACAGCUAUGGCACAGCUAGAAACACAACGGGUAGUAGCUAUUUCUUUCAGGCCUAUUUGCCUCUUCAACUCUGUGACUGCCCUGCACUCAUUGUGGAAGCUGCCGUGCUCCUGCCCUGAGGACUGGCUGCAGCCUCCCCGCUCCCCAGGCUCCUGUAUCUGCACACUUGGUCUUCAGCUGGUGGUGCCACUUGGGAAGGUUGGAGAUGGAGGCUCGCUGGAGGAAGUGCGUCACUGGGC